rnacentral:rRNA from 1 species
UACGUAGGCAGCGAGCGUUGUUCGGAGUUACUGGGCGUAAAGGGUGUGUAGGCGGUUCUUUAAGUUUGGUGUGAAAUCUCCCGGCUCAACCGGGAGGGUGCGCCGAAAACUGGGGGACUAGAGUGCGGGAUGGGAGAGUAGAAUUCCUGGUGUAGCGGUGAAAUGCGUAGAUAUUGGGAGGAACACCAGUGGCGAAGGCGGCUCACUGGACCGGAACUGACGCUGAGGCGCGAAAGCGUGGGGAGCAAACGGG